GCAAGGCAAAAAGUGCGCCACAACGUCAAAUCACGUCAAAUCACACAGAGCACAACUCCUGGCUGCAGCAAGAGGAGGAUAUUCAAUUCGAUUUCGGGCAGUUCGCUCUAACGUGACAGUUUGGUCCACUUUUGCACCUUGGGUUUAUGGGUUUUCUUCUCACCAUUGAUAUUCUGGCUGGAUUUGGUCAUUUUUGAAACAGGAAAGUCAUCCCAGGAUGUCCAGUUACAACUGCAAGUC